GGAAGCUUUCGGGUGGAAUGAACUUAACUUAGCGGCGGACGGGUGAGUAACGCGUGGACAACCUACCCUGUACAGGGGGAUAACAAUGGGAAACCAUUGCUAAUACCCCAUAACACCUUUUAGGGGCAUCCCUUUAAGGUCAAAGAAUUUCGGUACAGGAUGGGUCCGCGUCUGAUUAGCUAGUUGGUGAGGUAAUGGCUCACCAAGGCGACGAUCAGUAGCCGGCCUGAGAGGGUGAACGGCCACACUGGAACUGAGACACGGUCCAGACUCCUACGGGAGGCAGCAGUGGGGAAUAUUGCACAAUGGGCGAAAGCCUGAUGCAGCAACGCCGCGUGAGCGAUGAAGGCUUUCGGGUCGUAAAGCUCUGUCCUAAGGGAAGAUAAUGACGGUACCUUAGGAGGAAGCCCCGGCUAACUACGUGCCAGCAGCCGCGGUAAUACGUAGGGGGCAAGCGUUAUCCGGAAUCAUUGGGCGUAAAGGGUGCGUAGGCGGCCCUAUAGGUCAGAGGUCAAAGGCUACGGCUCAACCGUAGUAAGCCUUUGAAACUGUAGGGCUUGAGUGCAGGAGAGGAGAGUGGAAUUCCUAGUGUAGCGGUGAAAUGCGUAGAUAUUAGGAGGAACACCAGUGGCGAAGGCGACUCUCUGGACUGCAACUGACGCUGAGGCACGAAAGCGUGGGGAGCGAACAGGAUUAGAUACCCUGGUAGUCCACGCCGUAAACGAUGAGUGCUAGGUGUCGGGGGUCGAACCUCGGUGCCGCAGCUAACGCAUUAAGCACUCCGCCUGGGGAGUACGUUCGCAAGAAUGAAACUCAAAGGAAUUGACGGGGACCCGCACAAGCAGCGGAGCAUGUGGUUUAAUUCGAAGCAACGCGAAGAACCUUACCUGGACUUGACAUCCCUCGGACCGCUUUUUAACCAAAGCCUUCCCUUCGGGGACUGAGGUGACAGGUGGUGCAUGGUUGUCGUCAGCUCG
rnacentral:rRNA from 1 species